AGAGAGAUAGAGGAUGAACAACAGACAUACCAAAAGAACAUCCAUAGGAUCCAAAUAGCAGGAAUGAUACUAAUAAUCUAAAAUCCACCAUAGUUGAGGAAAUAGAACCUCCGUAGGCAAACAUGGAAUUGAAGUCAGCGAGUCGAAUCAAUCGCAAAUCAAUGGAGAAUUACGUGAAGUAGAUAUGAAUUUGUAAUCCCCAAUUCAAAGGCUUGAAAUCGGCAAUCAUAUAAAAGCCCCAAAAUUGACUAACAAUGGAUCAAGAACAUUGGAAAUUCCCAAAACAGCGACAAAGCCCUAUUGAGACAUACUUGAAUCAAAUAUGAGAAUGAAAGUCCCCAAUAGCAAGCUGAAUAGAAACCCAACCUUGAUUCAGUUUGACGAAAUUGAGAAUCCAAGAAUGAUAUGGAAGAAGCAGCUAUUGACGUCGAUUUCCAUGGAGGUCUAGAAAAGAAUGUCAAGGCAUAGAAAGCGGAAACAGAAAAACUCAGGAUCGAUCCAUGGCUCUUGAUACCAUGUUAACGAAAGUGAAAUAGAGAGAGAAUUAAGAAGAUGAACUUUUG
rnacentral:lncRNA from 1 species